rnacentral:rRNA from 1 species
GACGAACGCUGGCGGCGUGCUUAACACAUGCAAGUCGAACGGAAAGGCACUGCUUUUGUGGGGUGCUCGAGUGGCGAACGGGUGAGUAACACGUGAGUAACCUGCCCUUGACUUUGGGAUAACUUCAGGAAACUGGGGCUAAUACCGUAUAGGAGCUCCUGCUGCAUGGUGGGGGUUGGAAAGUUUCGGCGGGUGGGGAUGGACUCGCGGCUUAUCAGCUUGUUGGUGGGGUAGUGGCUUACCAAGGCAGUGACGGGUAGCCGGCCUGAGAGGGUGACCGGCGACAUGGGGACUGAGAGAGGGACCAGACUCCAACGGGAGGCAGCAGGGGGGAAUAUUGCACAACGAGCGGAAGCCGGAUGCAGCAACGCCGCGUGCGGGAUGCCGGCCUGUGGGUUGUGAACCGCUUUCGCUUGUGACGACGCGUGAGUGACGGUAAUGGGUAAAGAAGCACCGGCUAACUACGUG